rnacentral:rRNA from 1 species
GAUGAACGCUAGCGGGAGGCCUAAUACAUGCAAGUCGAACGGUAACAGGUAGCAAUACGCUGACGAGUGGCGCACGGGUGAGUAACACGUACACAAUCUGCCUAUAACUGGGGCAUAACUUCGGGAAACUGAAGCUAAUUCCCCAUAACACUGUAGAAAGGCAUCUUUCAGCAGUUAAAGCUCAGGCGGUUAUAGAUGAGUGUGCGUUUGAUUAGCUAGUUGGUGAGGUAAUGGCUCACCAAGGCUACGAUCAAUAACUGGUCUGAGAGGAUGAUCAGUCACACGGGCACUGAGACACGGGCCCGACUCCUACGGGAGGCAGCAGUAGGGAAUAUUGGACAAUGGAGGCAACUCUGAUCCAGCCAUCCCGCGUGAAGGAUUAGGGCCCUAUGGGUUGUAAACUUCUUUCCUCUGGGAAUAAAAACUGGGAUUCUUCUUAGCUUGAAGGUACCAGAGGAAUAAGCACCGGCUAACUCCGUGCCAGCCGCCGCAGUAAAAC